rnacentral:rRNA from 1 species
UACGUAGGGCGCAAGCGUUGUCCGGAAUUAUUGGGCGUAAAGAGCUCGUAGGCGGUUUGUCGCGUCUGUCGUGAAAGCUUGGGGCUUAACCCCAAGUCUGCGGUGGAUACGGGCAGACUAGAGGCAGGUAGGGGAGAACGGAAUUCCCGGUGUAGCGGUGAAAUGCGUAGAGAUCGUAAGGAAGGCCAGUGGCGAAGGCGAGUUCCUGGACAGUUACUGACGCUGAGGCACGAAGGCCAGGGGAGCAAACGGG